AGAGUUUGAUCCUGGCUCAGGACGAACGCUGGCGGCACGCCUAACACAUGCAAGUCGAACGGAGAUGAUUUGAGUUUACUUAGAUCAUCUUAGUGGCGGACGGGUGAGUAACACGUGAGCAACCUGCCUUUGAGAGAGGGAUAGCUUCUGGAAACGGAUGGUAAUACCUCAUAACAUACAGAUACCGCAUGGUGACUGUAUCAAAGAUUUAUCACUCAAAGAUGGGCUCGCGUCUGAUUAGAUAGUUGGUGAGGUAACGGCUCACCAAGUCGACGAUCGGUAGCCGGACUGAGAGGUUGAACGGCCACAUUGGGACUGAGACACGGCCCAGACUCCUACGGGAGGCAGCAGUGGGGAAUAUUGCACAAUGGGGGAAACCCUGAUGCAGCGACGCCGCGUGGAGGAAGAAGGUCUUCGGAUUGUAAACUCCUGUUGUUGAGGAAGAUAAUGACGGUACUCAACAAGGAAGUGACGGCUAACUACGUGCCAGCAGCCGCGGUAAAACGUAGGUCACAAGCGUUGUCCGGAAUUACUGGGUGUAAAGGGAGCGCAGGCGGGAAGACAAGUUGGAAGUGAAAUCCAUGGGCUCAACCCAUGAACUGCUUUCAAAACUGUUUUUCUUGAGUAGUGCAGAGGUAGGCGGAAUUCCCGGUGUAGCGGUGGAAUGCGUAGAUAUCGGGAGGAACACCAGUGGCGAAGGCGGCCUACUGGGCACCAACUGACGCUGAGGCUCGAAAGUGUGGGUAGCAAACAGGAUUAGAUACCCUGGUAGUCCACACUGUAAACGAUGAUUACUAGGUGUUGGAGGAUUGACCCCUUCAGUGCCGCAGUUAACACAAUAAGUAAUCCACCUGGGGAGUACGACCGCAAGGUUGAAACUCAAAGGAAUUGACGGGGGCCCGCACAAGCAGUGGAGUAUGUGGUUUAAUUCGACGCAACGCGAAGAACCUUACCAAGUCUUGACAUCCCUUGACGAUGCUGGAAACAGUAUUUCUCUUCGGAGCAAGGAGACAGGUGGUGCAUGGUUGUCGUCAGCUCGUGUCGUGAGAUGUUGGGUUAAGUCCCGCAACGAGCGCAACCCUUAUGGUCAGUUACUACGCAAGAGGACUCUGGCCAGACUGCCGUUGACAAAACGGAGGAAGGUGGGGAUGACGUCAAAUCAUCAUGCCCUUUAUGACUUGGGCUACACACGUACUACAAUGGCGUUAAACAAAGAGAAGCAAGACCGCGAGGUGGAGCAAAACUCAGAAACAACGUCCCAGUUCGGACUGCAGGCUGCAACUCGCCUGCACGAAGUCGGAAUUGCUAGUAAUCGCAGAUCAGCAUGCUGCGGUGAAUACGUUCCCGGGCCUUGUACACACCGCCCGUCACACCAUGAGAGCCGGGGGGACCCGAAGUCGGUAGUCUAACCGCAAGGAGGACGCCGCCGAAGGUAAAACUGGUGAUUGGGGUGAAGUCGUAACAAGGUA
rnacentral:rRNA from 1 species